GACGAACGCUGGCGGCGUGCUUAACACAUGCAAGUCGAACGGAAAUGCCCUGCUUUUGUGGGGUGCUCGAGUGGCGAACGGGUGAGUAACACGUGAGUAACCUGCCCAUGACUUUGGGAUAACUUCAGGAAACUGGGGCUAAUACCGGAUAGGAGCUCCUGCUGCAUGGUGGGGGUUGGAAAGUUUCGGCGGUUGGGGCUGGAUUCGCGGCUUAUCAGCUUGUUGGUGGGGUAGUGGCUUACCAAGGCUUUGACGGGUAGCCGGACUGAGAGGGUGAGCGGCGACCUUGGGACUGAGAGAAGGCACAGACUCCUAAGGGAGGAAGCAGUGGGGAAUACUGCAGAAGGGGCGGAAGCCUGAUGAAGCAACGCCGCGUGCGGGAUAGCGGCCUUCUGGGUGUAGACCGCGUUCGCGGGAACCGAAGCGUGAGUGACGGUAAUGGGUAAAGAAGCACCGGCUAACUACGUG
rnacentral:rRNA from 1 species